GGCUAAGAGUCCACAGAUACACACCCCCAACCCCAGGGGUAAGCACCUGGCUUCACCUGGGUUCUCCUGACAGAGACAAGAGCCUGGACCCAUUCACCCCACGACAUCGAGGUCUGCAUUAGCAGAAAACUGGAGCCAGGAGCUGGGGCUGGGAAUCGAACCUCGCACUGUGAUGUGGGACCCAGGCAUCCUAACUGCUAGGUUCAACACCCACCCCACACGUAUCUUUUUAUUCUGUUUUCCGUGACCUUUUGGAAGUACCCUUGUAUUGACUGAGUUCACUGAUAAUUGAGGAUCUCAUGAAACCUACCUGCUAGUGAAGAAAAUAAAAGACUAAAUAAAUCGACAAAUGAAUGACAAGCUUCAUCUCCCAGGAUUGCGGUAUUUAAAUCUUUCAAAAUGAAAAUAGUUCAUUAGUGUUCAGUAGUGAGUCCGUGCCUUCAUGAACAUUGACGCUUUGUGCUAAUCUCCAGAUUGCUCAGUAGGCCUGUUUUAAUGUGUUUAUAGUCAAAUACAGGAGACGAGGCCAGCAGGCCAGUUGAUCAGACUACCGAGCCCACGGAGGUUGUUUUCCUGGCUUCAUAUAUUAGCACCUGUUUACCCAGACCUGUAGAACGUCAAAGGGAAAAAUGGAUGCAGUUACGACAGCAGCACCCGCUCACCUGCUAACGUGUGCCAUUCACAAAUGGUAUUCUCAUAGUGUUUCAAGUGGGACUUCUCCACCUACGGGGAAGAAAUCUUGGAAUUGUAUACAUCUGCUUUGUGAAACUGGGUUUCAUCAUCCUUUACAAAGAGUCCUAUGUCCCAAUGUAAGUUAAUCAUUACUCAGCUAAGUUGUCAACACUUGAUGCUAUUUCAAAAUUAUCAAUCUGUCUCCUCAUUUCUUUAAAAAUAGAACCUGACCAAUAAUUUGGGGUGGAUAUUUCUGGCACAUACCAAAAUUCAUGCUGACUUACAGUGUUUGCUUAUUAACAAAUACUCAUUGUGCAACUGCAAAGGCCCGGCACUGUACUCAACAUUUCAAAGACAACAAGGUCAGGAGAAAGAAGGUUUUUGUUCUAAAAAAAUUUGUCUCCUAGUGGGGGCAAGGAGAGCAGAUAAUAAAUACUCAAGAUUACUCUAGUGGGUGGCAGGUGCUCUGGAGGAAAAUCAAGCCAGGGCGUCAUAGAGAAGGAAGAAGGCAUCGCUGUGUCCCGGACUGUCAGGAAUGGUCUCUUUUCCAAAAUAGCCUUGGUGCCAAGACCUGAAUGAUGAGAUUGAGUUUCCAAAGAAAGGAGAACGUUUCAGGCAUUUCAAGUGAAGGAGCUGCCGGUGCAAAGGCCCUGCGGCAGAGGCAUACAUGGAACUUGGCAUGCCCAGAAUGUUCUACCUCUAGUGGUGAUGAAGAUACCAGAUCUCUACCCUGUCUGUAGGAAUGUUGGUCCAAGGCCUCACAAUUCCCUUUGGCUUGGUGCCAUCACACGCCAGUGUUGCUAUUGAGUGGGGCUCACCUCAACCGUCAUGGAGUCUGUGAUGACAAGAAGACGGAAGAUGAUGUCACUGACACAGGAUACAGGGAUGACUCCCAAUUGGCAGGCCAUGAUGGCUGUGCCAGAUUGGGUGACCCAAACUUAGGAGGCUUUGGAUCGAGAUGUUUGGGAUCCUGUUGAGACUUACGUCCUAGCUCUGCCCUCUACUUGCUAUGUGAUCUUGGGCAAGAUGAUGAACCUUUGGACCUCCACUUCCUGCAAAAUGAGGAUAAUGAAAGUAGUUACUACUUCAUGGAAUUUCUGUGAGGAUAAAUAUGAGUUGUAUUUGAAAAACAUCUGAAACAGAAUUUGGAACAUGAUUACAAUUCAGUGAACUAUUUUUAUUGGAUUAAAGAUGCAAGAGUUGGAAUCUAAUGACCCAGGUUCAAAUCCUAACUCUUUCGUGGCUUGUGCCACCCUGGUGAGGUCUCCUCGUUUCCAGAAGAUGUCUAUUUUUUUGUCUGUGCGAUGGCCAUCUCUUGCCUGCACUGCUGUUCUCAUGGGGUCACGUAAGGUCAUGACUAGGCACCUAUGUUGUCACUAGCCCUUCCUUUGCUGUUCAGACUUCUCAUCUUGACAUGCCUCUGUCAACUUUAGAAGUUUUCAGACUAUCCUCUGAAAUUCACUUUCUGGAUGAAACGCCUGCCAAGCUGACAGUCUAGCAAAUGGGCUGAUAUGGUGCAACCUUAGGAGAGGAGGGUCUUGAGCACUGGGACCCAAGUCCAAUUAGCAAAGAUUUGAGCCCUUGUGCUAGUGAUGCUGAUACAUUUUUUCUAAUGUUUUAUUACAAAAAUUUACGAGAGUGUAGCAAAGUCAGAAGAAUUUUACAAUAAACUUCUAGAUACCAAACCACUGAGAUUCCAAUGUUAACAUUUUACAGUACCUGCUCAGUUGCCUAUUCAUUCAUCCAUCUAUCUAUUAGUUGUGGGUUUCCAUUUUCAGUUCAGAUCUGGAAGUUGUCUUUCAGAUUUUGGGUUCCAUUUUUGGUUCUCUGAGCAAUCUCAGUUAUAAAUAUUCUCUAUUGGAGUCCAGAGACCAUUGCUGUGUAUCAGAAAAAUAAAUGCAUUCAAAAUAUACUGUUUCAAAUUUUCUGUUAGAUUCAGAAGUGACCUAAAAAAUUUUCAUAUACAUUUAAGGACUUCAUUUUUCUUUGCAAAAUGUAGUCAGCCUAGUUGAACCAGCUGGCUCAAGUACUUGGUUUUAGCUCAAGGACAGUGAGGCUCAGGAUAUGGGAUGGAUCUUUGGUCUCAUAGUCCAUGAUAAAAUGCAAACAAGAACUGAGAUAUUCUGAUCCCAAAGUCAUUCUGUGAUGAAGCUGUUUCUCAGUCAUUUCUCUAUUGAUCUUUGUUAAAAUUUUGCUGCCUCCAACUUUUGACUUGAAAAUUGCUGAUGCAAGUAAUUACCCAUGCAAAAUAAUAGUUAAAUACUGCUUUUGCACAUCAAAGUUAAAAUAUUUCUCAGCUAUCCUUAAUUUUUCCUGUGCAAAAAGAAAAAGUCUAGGUAGAAUGCUUCCUCAUGCUACAUAUUGGGAAACUGAGGCAUUGGAAAGUAAGCAAUUGUGGGGAGCAACAGACUAGACUAAAUUACUGGAACUGCUAGGACUAAUUCUAUGCAUCUGAUCUCCCACAAUAUGGCGCUGAGAGAGAGCAAACAACUUCGACACAGCUGCUUCACCAAUUUGACUGAUAAACGGCAGGAGCUGAUCCUGCUCCUGAUUGGAGGAGAGCAGUGUGCUCGGCAUGUGGGCAGCAGAGUUGGGGUUGGUGGAAGAGGACUAUAAAGGAGGAGAGAAACAACAUGCACGGGGGAACAUCUGAGGAACAUCUGAGCAGCCCCUGAGAGAGCCAGCCGGCGGUGUGUCACUCCUCCGCGGAAGCGGGGAAAGCGGCAGGGGUGCCGCCCCUCCACGGAGGUGGGGGGGGGCGGCAGCUAACCCGGGAUGGCGUCGUUCCUCCGCGAAUGGGGCAACAGCAGCAAACCCGGGAAGGGGCAGGGCAAAAAGAACAGCGCAGGGUCCAGUGUCCUCCGCGAAUGGGGGAGUGACAGCAAUGUCUUUGAAAUUAACAACUGGGUUUUCUUGAGUCAUUUUCCAUAGAAUUCAUUCAUUUUCUUUGUUCAUCGACUUAUCAAAUAUUUGCAAAGCUCCUACUGUGUGCAUUGUUCUAGGAAUAUAAUGCUGAGCAAGACAGGCCAGAUCUCUCUCUCUUUAAAGAUUUAUUUUAUCUAUUUGAAAGGCAGAGUGACAAAGAGGGCGAAAGGGAGAAAUAGAAAGGUGGGAGUGGGGGGAUCUUCUAGCCACAGGUUUACUCCUCAAAUGGCCAUGAUGACUGGGGUUGGGCCAGGUGGAAGCUAGGAGCCAGGAACCCAAUCCGGGUUCCCACAUGGACGGCAAGGGCCCAGGUGAUUUGGAUCAUUUUCUAUUGUCUUCCCAGGUGCAUUAGCAGGGAGCUGGAUCAGAGAUGGAGUGGCUGGGCCUCUGAUAUGGGAUGCUGGCAUCACAGGCAGUGGCUUAACCCACUGAGUCACAAUGUUGGCCCUUAGAUCUCUUUCUUUCCUAAUGAUGCUUAUUUUUAAGAGAGGGAAUUAGUGGUAGUAGUAGUAGUAGUAGUAGUAGUAGUAAUAAUAAUAAUAAUAAAACCAAGUGAAUACUCAGCUUAUUUUUUCUUAAAGGCUAUGCUAUAAUACAAGUGGUAACAACUUAAUGACUGAAAAUAAGUGACUAAUUUAUACAGGGGUUGAAACAUGGUUUUUUGAGCAGGUAACAUUUGAAUAUCAACUCAAAUGAUGAGAAAACAAAUCAAUCAUUUAUAGAAUUAUUGGGGACCACAAUAGCAAUGAAGGCUUAGAAUCUGACCCAGCCUUGGGGUUGAUAUUUGAUGGGAAAUAGCAGAGUUCUCACUGAGAGGCUUUUUCAUGGGAAAUGAUGCAAGAAGGGUCUCCUGGUCGGCAGCCUUCUAACAUGGCUGCCAAGGUUCCCACUUGCUGUAUUCACACCCGUGCGUAAUCCACUUCCAUUGAGUGUGACGUGUUUCUGAUGAACAGAAUACAGCCAAUGUGAUAUGAUGCUACCUCUUUUUUAAAAGAUUUGUUUUAUUUCUUUGAAAGCAGAGCAACAGGGAGGGUGAGAGUGACAGUGAGAGAGAGAGAGAGAGAAAGAGAGAGAGAGAGAUCACACUUUUAUCUGCAGAUUCCCUUUCUAAAUAACCACAACAAUCAAGUCUGGGCCAGGCUGAAGCCAGGCUCCAGGAACUCCAUCCUGAUCUCCUACAUGGGUGGCGGGAGCCCACAUAUGAGGACCAGCAUGCACUGCCUUCCCAGGCGCCUUAGCAGGAAGCUGGGUUGCAAGCAGAGCAGCCAAGACUCCAUCCCUGACUCCAGUGUGGGUUGCCAGUGUUGCAAGGGACAGCUUGCAGCACUGCACUGCAACACCCACCCCUGAUGCUGCCUCUGAGAUGAGGUUAUCCAAGUGUAUCACUUCCGACUUGCUGGCUCCUUUGAUUUACUUGCCUUGAUGGAGAGGGCCACCUGGCAAGGAACUGAGGGUGGCCUUCAGGAGGGGCUCCCGCCAGCCAUCGUGUGAGGGAGCCGGGAAGCAGAGCCUUCAUCUGCUGAGACUUCAGAUGAGACUGAGGCCACCAACACCUGCUUGCAGCCUUGUGAGAGACCCUGAGCCCCAUUUCGCAGCUAAGCCAGAUUGCUCAUUCAUGACGCUGCGAGAUACUACCAGUUGCUGUUUUAGGUCACUGAGCUUUGGGGUAAUUUGUUGUGGAGCAACAGAAAAUGAAUUGCGUUCUGGUGAAACAUUAACAGGGUGCACUCGAGAUUUGCUAAACUCUGAAGUAGGGAACACCCACCCAGGCGUUGAUAAUUCAGGGUUGGAAGUGCCUGGAAUCCAGGGUCUAGGGCAUUGACUUCAAACAGACAGAAUCCUUGCUGUGUGACUGCCCUCAAUAGCUCCAUGCACCUCUGUAUCUUAGUUCCUUCAACUGGUUAAGAAGAGAGAUGUGUGCAUCCUCCAUCCUUGGAAAAAGUGAAAUCACAGUACUUUCAUCCUCGGGGGACUGACUCCAGGACCCUCUGUGCACACCAAUGCCUGCAGAUCCUCAAGUCCUUCCACAAAAGGAUGCAAUGUUUGCAUGAAAUCUACUUUACGUCACCUCUAGGUUACUUGUGGUACCAAAUACAAUGCAAACACUACGUAAGUAAUUACUGUAUUGCAUUAUUUAGAAGAUAAUGACAAGAAGAAAACCCUGUACAUAUUUAGUACAGAUGCAACUUUUUUAAACAAAUAUUUUUUAUCCAAGCUUGCUUGAAAUCAAGGAUGUGGAACCUGUGGAUGUGGAGGGCCAGUUCUCUGUGUUGAAUACAGCCCUUCAAAACACCUGUGAAUGGAUCUGGUGUUUAGCCUAGUGGUUAAGAGAUUGCCUCCUGGGGCUGGCACUGUGGUGCAGCAGGUUAAUGCCCUGGCCUGAAGCACUGGCAUCUCAUAUGGGUACUAGUUGGAGACCCGGCUGCUCUGCUUCCCAUCCUGCUCUCUGCUAUGGCCUGGGGAAGCAGUAGAAGAUGGCUUGGGCCCCUGCACCCAUAUGGGAGACCCGGAAGAAGCUCCUGGCUCCUGGCUUCAGAUCAGGGCAGCUCCGGCCAUUGUGGCCAACUGGGGAGUGAACCAGCGGAUGGAAGAUCUCUCUCUCUCUCUCUCUCUCUGCCUUUCCUCUCUCUGUGUAACUUUGACUUUCAAAUAAAUAAAUAAAUCUUAAAAAAAAAAAAAAGAGGUUGCUUCCUGUAUCAGAUUGGAGUCCUGGCUCCAGUUUUUUGUUUGUUUGUUUGUUCGUUUGUUUUUUGACAGGCAGAAUGGACAGUGAGAGAGAGACAGAAAGGUCUUCCUUUGCCGUUGGUUCACCCUCCAAUGGCCGCCGCGGCCGGCGCACCGCGCUGAUCCGAUGGCAGGAGCCAGGUGCUUCUCCUGGUCUCCCAUGGGGUGCAGGGCCCAAGCACUUGGGCCAUCCUCCACUGCACUCCCUGGCCACAGCAGAGAGCUGGCCUGGAAGAGGGGCAACCGGGACAGAAUCCAGUGCCCUGACCGGGACUAGAACCCGGUGUGCCGGCGCCACAAGGCGGAGGAUUAGCCUAGUGAGCCGCGGCGCCGGCCCAUGGCUCCAGUUCUUGACUACAGUUCCCUAGUGCCCUGCUAACUCAAAACUUGGGAGGUAGUGAUAAUGCUCAAAGACUGGGCUCCUGCUACCCUUGCUGGCCACCUGCAUUGGCUUCUAAGCUCCCGCCUUCAGCCUGGCCCAGCACUGGUGUUGUCACUUGCGGAGUGAACCCCUGGACAGGAGCUCUCCCUUUCACUGUUUGUCUUUCUCCAUGUCACAAAUAAAUAAUUAAAACAUUCAAAAAAAUACACCAAUGAGCCUUUGAAGAGGAAAAGUCUAUGUGGGAGAGAGGAUCCUACCUACAUGUGUUUGUGCACAUGUCCAUGAGGUGUGUGUGUGAACCUGUGUGUGCUUGAGAAGUGAGAAGAAAUGAGCCUAACUGUAGUUCUAUGUUUUGCACUGUUUUGCAAACACAGUCUGCCUUCCAACUGCCCUCCCUGCCAGAUGUUGACAUGUAAAUUCUGGCUUCAGAAAUGAGAAGGCCAACGUGAUACAAACAAAUUUAGCUCAACGAGCCAGAGUCAAAUUACCCUGAAGUUAGAAGCGAUCCAAAGAGAUCCAAGCACCACACUCCUAUUUGCUGCAGGCUGCCCAGGGAGCUGGUUGAGCUCCACGUCUAACAUGCAUUUCUGGCAUCGGGAUUGUUUCAAUUACUAGACCAUUCACAUCUCAGCUGACACAUGCAAUGAAGCUUGCUCCUUGCCUGGUACAUAAUUUAAGGUAAAAAGAAAAGAGGGUGUGUUUCAUCAUGGUCUAUCAUAUCUGUGUCUUUUGUUCUGGGAGGUAUUUGCAUACCUAAAGGGAAAUGGCCUCUUUAAUUUCUUUCCCUUCUCCUAAUCAGCUGAGGCCUAUUAAGAAGUGCUCUGUAUCCUGUAAUCAGACAAUUUAUACAGCAUGCACCCUUAGGCAACAGCUAUUAUAAACAAGCUGGAGAAAUCCUUUACAAUAAAUGAUUAGCAUGGGAAG